rnacentral:tRNA from 1 species
UUUAGGGAGACCUAAUCCACUCAAAUAUCGAAGAACAAUCAGUUAAAUAGAUAUUGAGUUGGUCUAUCCUAGGUCGGUCGCAGAAAUUGUUGAGGCUCUCAAACUAGAUGAGGUUCAUUGUGGGCUAUUAGCUCAGGUGGUUAGAGCGCACCCCUGAUAAGGGUGAGGUCCCUGGUUCGAGUCCAGGAUGGCCCACCUGAAGAAAGUCUGAAGGAUAAAGGCUGAAGGCUGAAAAUAUUUCAACCUUCAUACUUCAUACUUCAUCCUUUUUUUUGAUGGGGGUUUAGCUCAGUUGGUAGAGCGCCUGCUUUGCAAGCAGGAUGUCAGCGGUUCGAGUCCGCUAACCUCCACCUGCACAAUUGUGACAGUUACAAAAGUGAAUAUAUCGAUACCAGUCAAAAGCGAAAAUUGAUAGAAUGUUUUUUGUGGCGAAACAACCAGUGUGAUAAAAUCAAAGAUUGUGGAUAAAUUCAGCAAUUGACAGCGAAUAAAGUCAACCUGCUGGGUAAUAUCCAGCCAGAACCUUGAAAACUGCAUAGUAACGCGAAAAAAGCAGGCAGACGAAUCUAAGUGAUGAGUGCCCAGUGGUGAGUGCUGAUUUUAAUCAGUGUGAAUCACAAAGUAAACAGAACUUUGAAUAAGUUUGCAGUGGUGAAACCAAUUGUUUAGU